rnacentral:rRNA from 1 species
UACAGAGGUCUCAAGCGUUGUUCGGAUUCAUUGGGCGUAAAGGGUGUGUAGGUGGCGCCGUAAGUCAGGUGUGAAAUCUCGGAGCUUAACUCCGAAACUGCAUUCGAUACUGCCGUGCUUGAGGACUGGAGAGGAGACUGGAAUUUACGGUGUAGCGGUGAAAUGCGUAGAUAUCGUAAGGAAGACCAGUGGCGAAGGCGGGUCUCUGGACAGUUCCUGACGCUGAGGCACGAAGGCCAGGGGAGCAAACGGG